UAUGCCACUCAGUUUUGUUGUUUUAUCUUUACUUGCGAAUUUGAGUCAGGGCAACUGGUCCCAGAUCAGUAGCAAGGAGCAAACCAGGAAUACUCAACAAUACAGAGAUAACCUUCAGAUCACUGGGCUAAGACUGUGGAUCAUUUUGCCUUGUCUCACAUAAUGGGUUUCUGUAGCCUGUUACUGCAGGAGUACUGGUUCAGUGAAGGCUCAGAGUGCUUUGAAACCAUGUGUCCAACGUAUACUGGGGCAUUACUCUGGCAGAACAGGAAUAGAACAGUCAGAGUCAAGGGUAAUGAUGGGCGUGCACUUCCUGAGAACUUUAACCCCUAUGAAGUGCCGUCUCCUAGUGGGAUGAGCUGAGGCAUGCUGGUAUCUGUGCCUCUUGAAGCAUCUUAAAUCACCUGGACCCCGAAUUUAGCACACAGAUCCCCACCAAAAGCACACAGAUGCCCACCUUCUCCAUCAACACUGCAGACGUUUCAGAUGCCACAUAAAGAAUGUUUACUUUAACUCAUCUGAAGCCCAUUUGUAUUUGUGGACUUUUCUUUGCACCUUUAAUAAGGUAAUGCUGGCAUCGCUUAAGAUCAGAGGCAUAAUGUAAAUCCUUCUGGGACCGAAUCAUUGUGGCUUAGUCCCUUUUUGUAACCUAAUUGCCAUCAGCGCUUUUCUCUGAUGCUUGAUACCCUACUGUUGAUAUAUCGUUAUUAUUCCUUAUCAUUUCUUUUCAGUGCCUUACUGUGCUUUAUUUCUGUUUUUUUCUGUCUCUUUUAUCUUCAUAUGUUAGUGACCCUGGACAUUUCCGUACUUUCUUUUUUUUAAUCUUGGACGAUAACAGUCACUCAUACUUGCCUUGUCUUUUUCAGAAUUGAAGCAGGUCAACAAAUUGACCUCAUUAGUGUUUAUGCUCGAAAGGUUCAGUGAGUUUAUAUGUUUCCCUUUAUUGUAAUUUAAUGGAUAAUAAAACAAUGGGUUAUUAUCA